GGGUGGAGGAGAAUGGUAGGAAGUUUUUCCUAGAUGGAGCCUACAACAAAUAAGCAAAUAGUGCUUAAGACAGCUUGGGCUUGUGGGAAGGAGAGCUCAGAUGACAGAAAGUUCAUCCCAGAAUGUGUCAGGGAUUCCAAGAGCAACAAGUCACCACAUCCUAGGUUUGGAUAUACAGUUUUUAUAUUCUAGAAGCAGAAGAAAAAAGCCAUCAGCAAAAUAGCUUUCCUUCUUCCUUUCUAACCUCCUCCCCCCCAAAUUGACAUUGGUAUCUAGUUGGCAGGAUUCUUCAAGCCUUUUACCUGCCAGGUGCUAGGGGACAAAGAUGAAUAAAACACCUUCCCAGACCUCUAGUGAUGGCUCAUCUCCUGGAGAAAGGUUUUAGGAGAAGACUAAUCUCUCCAGUCACUGCAAGGCUUGAGUACACCAGUCAUUGUCUCCAACCUCUGGCCAGGACGAGAUCAUAUGCUCUGGGGAAAGCCAGCUGCCGUGUUCUGCAGACACUGAAGCAGUCUAUGCGAGGCCCACGCAGCAAGGAACAGCCUAGAGCAGCAAGAUACUGAGACCGGCCAACAACCAGUUUGCUGCCAGAACAGAGGUGAAAAUCACCACUGAAUCUAAGCCAAAAAUGGAAAAGGAAAUGGCUCAUAUUAACAUCGUCUUUAUUUGACAUAUAGAUUCAGACAAAUCUACCACCUCUGGCCAUCUGACCUACAAAUGUGGUGGGAUCAACGAAAGAACCAUUGAAAAAUUUGAGAAGGGGGUUGCUGAGAUGAGAAUGUUCUCCUUCAAGUAUGCCUGGGUCUUGUGGUGAUUCCACUUCUGGGUAUAUAUCUGAA